AUUCGCACCCUUCCUGCUCUUUCUCAAUACAGAGACUCAUUAAGAAGCUGCAGAAAUAACUGAGGUCAUAAUGAACAUGACAUGAGCAUGAGCAACAUACUACAGAGAAAGACAGACAGAGAGAUGCUGAGAGGAAAACGCCUUUGUCUAUGCCAUGCUUCUCAUGCCAAGAAAGUUCCAGUGCCAUCUGCGGCCCUCUGGGGGAUGGGGACACUGUGCCCAUGGCACUGGCGAUGAAGCCAUAUUAGCACCCUGGAGCCUGGGCACAAUAGGCGAGGGAGGCAAGGAGGCCAUCUUGAGGGAGAUCUCACUAAAACAUCUAAGAUGGCUGGACUGGCACACGAGACGUUUCACGUUAUAAUAAGAAGCACCAGAAGAAACAGGAAGACCUGAGAAAGAAUGUCCAGCCUUAAAGAAUUUCUAUUUAUUAUAAUAAUAUAAUAAUUUAUUAUUUCUAUUAGCUAUUUUUUCUGGUAAAUAUUUCAGUAUUUUACAAAAUGAUAUGAAUUAAUUUUAUUAAUUUAUUUGUUAAAUUUUCAAUAGACAACAAAUGUGAAUUGUAUCAACUGUCAAAUCUUAAUAUGUAUAUGUACUGAA